rnacentral:rRNA from 1 species
CCUACGGGGGGCAGCAGUGGGGGAUAUUGCACAAUGGGGGAAACCCUGAUGCAGCGACGCCGCGUGAGUGAAGAAGGUUUUCGGUAUGUAAAGCUCUAUUAGCAGGGAAGAAAAUGAACGUUCCCUACCGAGGAAGCCACGCCUAACUACGUCCCAGCAGCCGCUGUAAUCCGUAGGGGGCAAGCGUUUUUCGGAAUAACUGGGUGUAAAGGCUGCGUAGGCGGGUAAACAAGUUAUAUGUGAAAUAUAUAGGCUUAACCUGUAGAUAGCAUAUAAAACUGUUUACCUAGAGUGCGGGAGAGGUAGGUGGAAUUCUUGGUGUAGCGGUGAAAUGCGUAGAGAUCAAGAAGAACACCCAUUGCGAAGGCGACUUACUAGACUGUAACUGACGCUGAUGCAUGAGAGCAUGGGGAGCAAACAGGAUUAGAUACCCGGGUAGUC